CGACUCGUGGGCGUCAAUACUGGGCUGAGUUUGUGGCGCGCUUAGUGAUGGGAUGGCCCUGUGCAGGACGCCGACACGAAAAGAUGAAGAGUUCAAUCCGUGCUGUCUGAACUCACAGUGUAGCAGGCGAGAUAGACGGGAAGAUCGGUAGGGUGGGAGAUGCCGGAAAGGCUUCCCGUGAGACUGGAUAAGAAAUCAAAAAUCUGGUGAAAUUGCCGGCAAGAGGGAGUUAAGGACAUUCCAGGCAGAGGCAAGUUGGUCCUUGCUGGCUGAUCCAGCUUCCCCGUCAGCAUAUGGUGAGCAGUUCGGUGAGAGGACCACACUUCCAAUACUGGCAGAUGAAGCCAGAUACUCCUCUAUGAAGUUAAAUGACUGGUUCAGUGUUAACACUGCUAGUGAGCGACAGAGAUGGAAUUUGAACGCACACCUGUCUGACUCCACCUCGUGUUCCUUCCACAUGGCCAGCAAGCUCUGCUGUCCCACCUCGCACUUCUGGGAGUCCAGAUUCCUAAGAUGAGGACACAGCAUCCUGGGCCACUGUCACUAAUACAAAUUUGCCUCUGGAGGGACUCUACGGAAGAUAAUUCCCCUGAAAUUUGGAGAGUUGAAUUAAGCUAGGACUGAUUCUGGCUGGAAUUUGUGGUGGCUACGUACCCUAGAGGGCCUCAAGGAAACCCACGGUUCAAGACAGCCCUGACAGAUUCUGGAGUCUAGAACAGAAAUGGAUUUGAACAUGGGCAAGGCCAACCACCCAGUUCACGGCCUGUGUACAGCAAAGAUUACGUUACAGCCUGAGAGCUAAGCCUGGAAGCUCUUUCAUCCAUCCGUUUGUCCAUCUAUCCAUCCAUCUGCUCAUCCAUCCCUCCAUCUGCUCAACAAACGUUAGAGAAUCAAUCCUUGUGUCAGAUACUGGGGCUGCCCUCAAGGAGCUUUUAUAGAGUUCAGGGUACAGCCAGGUGGGGGAGACAGAUCACUAUAAAAACCUACCACUAUAAUCCAAAGGACAAGAGCAAAAAUAGUAAAGAGGAGAGAAGACCCAAAUUUGCCUGGUGGGUCAGAGAGGGCUUUCUAGAAGAGGUAAAAAAUCUUCGGGGCUAUCACUUCACCUUGCCUGGUGGAUAAAGGGAGGACUUUCCAGAUACAGUGGACAGAAUGUGCAGAGGCAGGAGCCAUGAGUGGCAGAGGCAGGGGAGGGACUGCAGAGACAGGUUGGAGCCAAAGCACGUGGCACUGGAGCCAUAGCCAAAGGAACAAACUGUGAGACCUGGGACUUGAAUUUGGAGGUGGUGAAAAGUGACAAGGUCUUCACAGAAGAGUGAUUUUUUCAACUUAGGGAAGGCUGACCCCAGACCAAUGCUGCCAAAGUGUGGUCUGUGGGCUGUUAGCAGUUCGUGACGAUGUAAGUACAGGAAUUGAGAUUAAGCAUUUAGAACACCUACAGCACUUUGAUAGUCAUUUUACUUUUUAAAUUUUGAGCUGGCAUUUUAUAUGCCUGGUUUUUUUUUGUUUUUGUUUUUUUAUUUUUUUUGAGACAGUCUCGCUCUGUCGCCCAGGCUGGAGUGCAGUGGCGCGAUCUCUGCUCACUGCAAGCUCCGCCUCCCGGGUUCACGCCAUUCUCCUGCCUCAUCCUCCCAAGUAGCUGGGACUGCAGGCGCCUGCCGCCUCGCCCAGCUAAUUUUUUGUAUUUUUAAUAGAGACGGGGUUUCACCAUGUUAGCCAGGAUGGUCUCAAUCUCCUGAUCUCGUGAUCUGCCCGCCUUGGCCUCCCAAAAUGCUGGGAUUACAGGUGUGAGCCACCACGCCCAGCCUUAUUCUCUUUUUCUAAUAGUUGCACUUUAUCAUAUUUUACAAAUGUGUGAGUCUGCUAUGGAUUAGAAAUUAAUAAGAGAUUUUGCCACAGAUAGUUUGAGAAGCCCAGCACUGCCACUCAACAAAUGCUGGUGCAUUCAGAUGGUGAAAUAUUCUGCAGCUAUUAAAGGAGUUAAAACUGCCUCCACUUACCUGGAGGCCCAUCUGUGACACCUUUUUAGGUUAAAAGGAAAAGAAAAACUUGCUUAGGACUGAAUAUGAGCGGUUGCAAUUUGUAACAAUGAUGUAUAUAUACAUAUACAUUUUCAUGUAUUUGUAUGAACAUAAAAGUAUUGAAGGAUAUUCAUCAAACUGCUAAAAGGGUUGCUUCAGAGUAACGGACUCGGAGAAGGCAGAUUAAUUUUCUCUUAAUGGAACUCUGUAUUGUAUCACUUGUAAAAAUAAGCAUGUGUUAUCUUUAUGAUAAAAAAGUAAAAACCUAAAAAA
rnacentral:lncRNA from 1 species